rnacentral:tRNA from 1 species
GAGCCCGUGGCUCAAUGGUAGAGCGUUCGACUCAAAUAUCAAACGUCGCGGGCUCG